AUGCUUACUUCUCCGAAAGUGAAAGGAGGGAUGGGCUUCAGAGAUCUACAACUAUUUAACCUUGCCCUCCUGGGAAAACAUGGCUGGAGACUCAUCACGGGCCCGGUGUCGCUCUGUGCACGGGUGCUCAAAGGGAAGUAUUUCCCGACGACAAAUUUUCUCGAAGCUACUUCGCCAUCCCACACGUCUUCCACUUGGCAUGCAAUCUUGGCGGGG
rnacentral:rRNA from 1 species